rnacentral:rRNA from 1 species
UACGGAGGGUGCGAGCGUUGUCCGGAAUCACUGGGCGUAAAGGGCGCGUAGGCGGCUGGGGAAGUCGGCGGUGAAAGCCCGGAGCUCAACUCCGGGUCGGCCGUCGAGACUCCUCGGCUCGAGCUCACUAGAGGCAGAUGGAAUUCCGGGUGUAGCGGUGGAAUGCGUAGAGAUCCGGAAGAACACCGGUGGCGAAGGCGGCCUGCUGGGCAGUUUUGCUGACACUGAGGCGCGACAGCGUGGGGAGCAAACAGG